rnacentral:misc_RNA from 1 species
GUAUGAACGUAUUUUUUUAAAAAUUAAUAAGGGAAGGAAGAGCGUUUUUUUUUAUUUUUUUUGGAUAAAUAAAAGUAAAUUUUGGAUAUUAAUAUUUUAUUGAAUAAUUGUUUAGUAUUUAAGAUUUAGUUUUUAGGAUUUAAAUAACGGUGGUGGUGGUGGUGGUUUAGUUGUUAAGUCGUGUUUGAUUUUUGUGAUUUUGUGGAUUGUAGUUCGUU